rfam:Bacterium GW2011_GWB1_45_10 VE97_C0007, whole genome shotgun sequence.
UUUGAUGAGAGUUUGAUCCUGGCUCAGGAUUAACGCUGGCGGCAUGCCUAACACAUGCAAGUCGAAUGUGCCCCUCACUCUGUUCCGCAGUAAUUUUAUUAUUGGGCGAUAGAGUGAGGGACAACAUGGCAGACGGCUGAGUAACACGUGGGUAUCUACCCUUGGGUCGGGUAUAACUCCGCGAAAGCGGAGAUAAUUCCCGAUAUGUCCCGCCAAUUUAGGGCUGGUGUAUCAAAUUUACCAAGCUAUUUAUGUUUAAUGUAAAAUAACUUGGUAGAUGAUCUAUACGAACCUCAAAUUGGCGGGAUGAAAGAUUUAUCGCCCGAGGAGGAACCUGCGUCCGAUUAGCUUGUUGGUGGGGUAAUGGCCUACCAAGGCUAUGAUCGGUAACUGGUCUGAGAGGAUGACCAGUCAGACUGGGACUGAGACACGGCCCAGACUCCUACGGGAGGCAGCAGUGAGGAAUUUUCCACAAUGGGCGAAAGCCUGAUGGAGCAAUGCCGCGUGCAGGAAGACGGCCUUCGGGUUGUAAACUGCUUUUAUAAAUGAAGAUUAUGACGGUAAUUUAUGAAUAAGGACCUGCUAACUACGUGCCAGCAGCCGCGGUAAUACGUAGGGUUCGAGCGUUAUCCGGAUUCACUGGGCGUAAAGAGUUCGUAGGCGGAUGAACAAGUCUACUGUUAAAGACCCUAGCUCAACUGGGGGAAAGUGGUAGAAACUAUUUAUCUAGAGAGUGGUAGAGGCAGAUGGAAUUCUCGGUGUAGGAGUUAUAUCCGUAGAUAUCGAGAAGAACACCAAAGGCGUAGGCAGUCUGCUGGGCCAUCUCUGACGCUGAGGAACGAAAGCGUGGGGAGCGAACGGGAUUAGAUAAAUCCGUCACCGCUCGUAAAAUAUAGUGACAAAGGGUGUCCCUCUUGAUGGCAACAUCAAGAUGAGCAUUCAGCUGUAUCGGGGGAACCCCAUAACAUAUGAGCUACCGGCUCGUUAUGGACAAUCCCGAGGGAAGUCCUCCGAAUUAUAUCGGAGUGACCCCGUAGAGACUAUGAAGUUGAUUGUGACAGAGGGUGUAAAAUUAUUCGCUUAUGAACAAAUACACACCCUUGUCUGAAAAUACCCAAGCCAUAAUUCUGGGAUCGGUGUUAGGCGAUGGAUCGCUUAAGCUUUAUCCUGGUUAUGCAAAUGCUCGUUUUUCUUUUCGUCAUAGCGAAAAACAGUCUGACUAUUUCUGGUGGAAAGCCAACCAAUUGCAAGAGAUAUCAGGCAAAAAGUUCGCUUGGCGACAAAGUAAAAAUGGCAAAGAUGGAUGGGGUACAGUUAAAUAUCGGUUUUGCAGCCAGGCUCUGCCGGCUCUGACCGAGAUGUUUAAGUUGACCCAUUCCAAAAAUAAAUUCCUAAUUAGAAGGAAAUGGCUGAAUUUAUUGACCCCGUUAUCGUUAGCCAUUUUGUGGCAGGAUGACGGAUCAAUUAUCGCCAAUGGUAGAAAAGGAGUAGUCUGUACUGAUGGUUUUACUAAGCCAGAGGUACAACUGCUUCAACAAUACCUCAAGGUAGUUUGGCGCAUCCACACAGUCGUGGGGCUAAAAAACAAGCAAUCUAAUCAGUUUCGAUUGUGGUUUCGGUCUACCGAACAACUGCAAUCAUUCUUGCGCAUCAUCUUACCGCAUAUCGCGGUAGCACAGAUGAUACCCAAGUUUAUCCUUCUGUAUCACGAUCAUCAACUUCAACAACGCUGGAUCUCUGAAGUCGCGACUAUUUCAGGUUUUCCCCUGAAAACAGUAGUUGAGUACUAUGACUUAAAAAAAAGUAAAUGGAAAAACUACCGAGAGUCCGAUGCAGAGAAUGAUAUAGUCCAAUCGGUGUAGUAAUAUACUGUUUGACCCCGGUAGUCCACGCCCUAAACGAUGGAUACUAGGCAUAGGUGGCUUCGGUCCCCUCUGUGCCGCAGCUAACGCAUUAAGUAUCCCGCCUGGGGAGUACGAGCGCAAGCUUAAAACUCAAAGGAAUUGACGGGGACCCGCACAAGCGGUGGAGCACGUGGUUUAAUUCGAUAACAAGCGGAGCACCUCACCAAGGCUUGAAUCCUACUGAAAGCUUGCAGAAAUGCGAGCCUCCUUCGGGCAGUAGAGACAGGCGCUGCACGGUUGUCGUCAGCUCGUGUCGUGAGAUGUAUGGUUAAGUCCAGUAACGAGCGCAACCCCCAUGUGGUGUUAAAUUUUUCACCACAGACUGCCCUGGUUAACAGGGAGGAAGGUGGGGAUGACGUCAAAUCAGCGUGGCCUUUAUGCCUUGGGCGACACACAUGCUACAAUGGGCGAGAACAAUGGGUUGCAAUACCGCGAGGUGGAGCUAAUCCCAAAAAAUCGCCCCCAGUUCAGAUUGCAGGCUGCAACUCGCCUGCAUGAAGCCGGAAUCGCUAGUAACCGCAGAUCAGCCAUGCUGCGGUGAAUACGUUCUCGGGUCUUGUACAAAAUAAAUGCGCCUGGCAGCGCAUCGGACUAGUUGGUGGAAAUCCAACUGAGCUUUCUUAUCA